rnacentral:lncRNA from 1 species
CGCUUCCAUCCGUGGGCACUGCGGGUUUGGUGUGGAGGUGGAUGGGCGAGCGGGGCAAAGGGAGCGCGGAGCAGAGCCGUGAGUGUGGGUCUGAGCCCCUCUGUCCACAGCGAAGGCAUUGGGGGAUGCAGCCGUGGAGGGGGUGAGCGCUGCUGUGUAGGAAAUGGGGCUAAAACCCCCCCUGACAAAGCGCCCCAAAACACAGCUCUAUAAAUCGCAACGAGGAAACGGGGAGCUGGGGGGACGUGGGGGG